rnacentral:rRNA from 1 species
CAGCAGCCACGGGAAAACAGAGGAUGCAAGCGUUAUCCGGAAUGAUUGGGCGUAAAGGGCUCGCAGGCGGUUUCUUAAGUCUGAUGUGAAAGCCCCCGGCUCAACCGGGGAGGGUCAUUGGAAACUGGGAAACUUGAGUGCAGAAGAGGAGAGUGGAAUUCCACGUGUAGCGGUGAAAUGCGUAGAGAUGUGGAGGAACACCAGUGGCGAAGGCGACUCUCUGGUCUGUAACUGACGCUGAGGAGCGAAAGCGUGGGGAGCGAACAGGAUUAGAUACCCCAGUAGUCCCUGUCUCUUAUAC